rnacentral:rRNA from 1 species
UAGGAAUCUGCCCGAUAGUGGGGGAUAACCUGGGGAAACCCAGGCUAAUACCGCAUACGUCCUACGGGAGAAAGGGGGCUCCGGCUCCCGCUAUGGGAUGAGCCUAUGUCGGAUUAGCUAGUUGGUGAGGUAACGGCUCACCAAGGCCACGAUCCGUAGCUGGUCUGAGAGGAUGAUCAGCCACAUCGGGACUGAGACACGGCCCGAACUCCUACGGGAGGCAGCAGUGGGGAAUAUUGGACAAUGGGGGAAACCCUGAUCCAGCCAUGCCGCGUGUGUGAAGAAGGCCCUCGGGUUGUAAAGCACUUUCAGCGAGGAAGAACGCCUAGCGGUUAAUACCCGCUAGGAAAGACAUCACUCGCAGAAGAAGCACCGGCUAACUCCGUGCCAGCAGCCGCGGUAAUACGGAGGGUGCAAGCGUUAAUCGGAAUUACUGGGCGUAAAGCGCGCGUAGGUGGCUUGAUAAGCCGGGUUGUGAAAGCCCCCGGGCUCAACCCUGGGAAACGGCAUCCGGAACUGUCAAGCUAGAGUGCAGGGAGAGGAAGGUAGAAUUCCCGGGUGUAGCGGUGAAAUUGCGUGGAGAUCGGGGAGGAAUACCAGGUGGCGAAGGCGGGCCUUCCUGGACUGACACUGGACACUGAGGGUGCGGAAAGCGGGGGUAGCAAACAGGAUUAAAAUACCCCUGGGAAGUCCCACGCCGGUAAACGAUGGUCGAACCAGCCGGUGGGGGGGCCUAAGCCCCCCUUUGUGGCGGAAGUUUACCGCCGAUAAGGUCCGACCCGCCUGGGGGAGAGCGGCCGCCAAGGGUUAAAAAUUCCAAAUGAAUUUGCGGGGGCCCGC